CUUGCAACCAAGAUUACAUUAUCCAGCAAAGCUACAACUUAGAAUUGAAGGAGAGAUAAAGAGCUUCCCAGACAAGAAAAAGGUAAGGAGUUCAUCACCACCAAACCAA